CUUGUCCCUCAUUUCCUUUUCCAUCCCCUUCCCAUUUCCUCUACCUGAAAAACCAGAUUCAUUUGCCUUACUUUGAAAAUAAAAAUGUAACCAUACUUUAAAAAAAAUUAAAAUACCUCACAUCCACCUGACUCUGUGGUGCUAUUUAAAAAUACAGAUCUGGCACAAUGCUCUUGUUUUAUAGAUCAUAAAUGUCGAUCUAAGGAAGUCGUGUGGCUGACUGACUAGCUGAGCCUACACUAUAUGCUUUUCUGAGUUUCCCAUGCCUGAAUUUCGGAAUCAAUAAAAUUUCAAUGGAGGAAAUAGAAAACACUCCAUUCAACAGUAGAGAGUGCCCAUUUAAAGCCACACUUUCCCACUGCAUACUGACUUAACUGCCCGCCAAAUGCCUUGUCCUGAGUUCAUGUUGCUUCAGCACCCAUUUUGAUGGUAAGGAGGAAUUGUUCGUAGCAGAGUCAGGGCUCAG
rnacentral:lncRNA from 1 species